rnacentral:rRNA from 1 species
UACGUAGGGGGCAAGCGUUGUCCGGAAUUAUUGGGCGUAAAGGGCGCGUAGGCGGCCCGCUAAGUCGAACGUGAAAUCCCCAGGCUCAACCUGGGAACUGCGUCCGAUACUGGCAGGCUUGAAUCCGGGAGAGGGAUGUGGAAUUCCAGGUGUAGCGGUGAAAUGCGUAGAUAUCUGGAGGAACACCGGUGGCGAAGGCGGCAUCCUGGACCGGCAUUGACGCUGAGGCGCGAAAGCUAGGGGAGCAAACGGG